CACUAUCGUUAACUGAAUACAUAGGUUAACGAGGCGAACCGGGGGAACUGAAACAUCUAAGUACCCCGAGGAAAAGAAAUCAACCGAGAUUCCCCCAGUAGCGGCGAGCGAACGGGGAGCAGCCCAGAGUCUGAAUCAGCUUGUGUGUUAGUGGAACGGUCUGGAAAGUCCGACGGUACAGGGUGAUAGUCCCGUACACCAAAAUGCACAGGCUGUGAACUCGAAGAGUAGGGCGGGACACGUGGUAUCCUGUCUGAAUAUGGGGGGACCAUCCUCCAAGGCUAAAUACUCCUGACUGACCGAUAGUGAACCAGUACCGUGAGGGAAAGGCGAAAAGAACCCCGGCGAGGGGAGUGAAAAAGAACCUGAAACCGUGUACGUACAAGCAGUGGGAGCACCUUCGGGUGUGACUGCGUACCUUUUGUAUAAUGGGUCAGCGACUUAUAUUCUGUAGCAAGGUUAACCGUAUAGGGGAGCCGCAGGGAAACCGAGUCUUAACUGGGCGUUAAGUUGCAGGGUAUAGACCCGAAACCCGGUGAUCUAGCCAUGGGCAGGUUGAAGGUUGGGUAACACUAACUGGAGGACCGAACCGACUAAUGUUGAAAAAUUAGCGGAUGACUUGUGGCUGGGGGUGAAAGGCCAAUCAAACCGGGAGAUAGCUGGUUCUCCCCGAAAGCUAUUUAGGUAGCGCCUCGUGAACUCAUCUUCGGGGGUAGAGCACUGUUUCGGCUAGGGGGUCAUCCCGACUUACCAACCCGAUGCAAACUACGAAUACCGAAGAAUGUUAUCACGGGAGACACACGGCGGGUGCUAACGUCCGUCGUGAAGAGGGAAACAACCCAGACCGCCAGCUAAGGUCCCAAAGUCAUGGUUAAGUGGGAAACGAUGUGGGAAGGCACAGACAGCCAGGAUGUUGGCUUAGAAGCAGCCAUCAUUUAAAGAAAGCGUAAUAGCUCACUGGUCGAGUCGGCCUGCGCGGAAGAUGUAACGGGGCUAAACCAUGCACCGAAGCUGCGGCAGCGACACUAUGUGUUGUUGGGUAGGGGAGCGUUCUGUAAGCCUGCGAAGGUGACCUGUGAGGGUUGCUGGAGGUAUCAGAAGUGCGAAUGCUGACAUAAGUAACGAUAAAGCGGGUGAAAAGCCCGCUCGCCGGAAGACCAAGGGUUCCUGUCCAACGUUAAUCGGGGCAGGGUGAGUCGACCCCUAAGGCGAGGCCGAAAGGCGUAGUCGAUGGGAAACAGGUUAAUAUUCCUGUACUUGGUGUUACUGCGAAGGGGGGACGGAGAAGGCUAUGUUAGCCGGGCGACGGUUGUCCCGGUUUAAGCAUGUAGGCUGGUUGUCCAGGCAAAUCCGGAUAAUCAAGGCUGAGGUGUGAUGACGAGGCACUACGGUGCUGAAGUAACAAAUGCCCUGCUUCCAGGAAAAGCCUCUAAGCAUCAGGUAACAUCAAAUCGUACCCCAAACCGACACAGGUGGUCAGGUAGAGAAUACCAAGGCGCUUGAGAGAACUCGGGUGAAGGAACUAGGCAAAAUGGUGCCGUAACUUCGGGAGAAGGCACGCUGGUGUGUAGGUGAAGCCCCUGCGGGUGGAGCUGAGACCAGUCGAAGAUACCAGCUGGCUGCAACUGUUUAUUAAAAACACAGCACUGUGCAAACACGAAAGUGGACGUAUACGGUGUGACGCCUGCCCGGUGCCGGAAGGUUAAUUGAUGGGGUUAUCCGUAAGGAGAAGCUCUUGAUCGAAGCCCCGGUAAACGGCGGCCGUAACUAUAACGGUCCUAAGGUAGCGAAAUUCCUUGUCGGGUAAGUUCCGACCUGCACGAAUGGCGUAAUGAUGGCCAGGCUGUCUCCACCCGAGACUCAGUGAAAUUGAACUCGCUGUGAAGAUGCAGUGUACCCGCGGCAAGACGGAAAGACCCCGUGAACCUUUACUAUAGCUUGACACUGAACAUUGAGCCUUGAUGUGUAGGAUAGGUGGGAGGCUUUGAAGCGUGGACGCCAGUCUGCGUGGAGCCAACCUUGAAAUACCACCCUUUAAUGUUUGAUGUUCUAACGUUGGCCCCUUACCGGGGUUGCGGACAGUGUCUGGUGGGUAGUUUGACUGGGGCGGUCUCCUCCCAAAGCGUAACGGAGGAGCACGAAGGUUAGCUAAUCCUGGUCGGACAUCAGGAGGUUAGUGCAAUGGCAUAAGCUAGCUUGACUGCGAGCGUGACGGCGCGAGCAGGUGCGAAAGCAGGUCAUAGUGAUCCGGUGGUUCUGAAUGGAAGGGCCAUCGCUCAACGGAUAAAAGGUACUCCGGGGAUAACAGGCUGAUACCGCCCAAGAGUUCAUAUCGACGGCGGUGUUUGGCACCUCGAUGUCGGCUCAUCACAUCCUGGGGCUGAAGUAGGUCCCAAGGGUAUGGCUGUUCGCCAUUUAAAGUGGUACGCGAGCUGGGUUUAGAACGUCGUGAGACAGUUCGGUCCCUAUCUGCCGUGGGCGCUGGAGAAUUGAGGGGGGCUGCUCCUAGUACGAGAGGACCGGAGUGGACGCAUCACUGGUGUUCGGGUUGUCAUGCCAAUGGCACUGCCCGGUAGCUAAAUGCGGAAGAGAUAAGUGCUGAAAGCAUCUAAGCACGAAACUUGCCCCGAGAUGAGUUCUCCCUGAGACUUUAAGUCUCCUGAAGGAACGUUAAAGACGAUGACGUUGAUAGGCCGGGUGUGUAAGCGCAGCGAUGCGUUGAGCUAACCGGUACUAAUGAACCGUGAGGCUUAACCUU
rnacentral:rRNA from 1 species